GAAGGAAUCAGGAGGCAGAGCACAUGGUUAAAGCAUGAGAUGUGAAACCAGGAAGAACCAGGUCUGAACCUUAGCUCCACCAGUGGUAGCCCCAAACCUUGGUCCUUUCUGAGCCUGCUUCUUCAACCCUAAGGGAACGCUACACUUCCUUAGAAAUUAAGAGUGUGUGCUACACUGCUUUACCAGAGCAAGACCAAAAGCAGCUUCAAUUAUGGUACAACUGUGUGAAGACACAAUGCGAAACCACUCAAGAAUGCUCACUCAAAUGGAUUUUUACCAUGCUCAUCCCCUAUUCUCCUCUUGCAAUCGGGAUGCUGCCUGACUACCAACACACCUGCACAAAGCCCUCUGCAGCACCUGCCACUGGCCCAUGCUUUUGUCAUUGCCACCGCCAGCUCAGCCUCAUUCCCCUCCAGGCUCUGCUCCAAUGCAUAGGACCACAGGAACUCGGAAACGGGACCCAGAAAGUUGUUUUCUGCAAGUGGAUGGAACAACACAAGCAAUCAGUAUCCUGAAACAGGCCCUGUUCCAACAAACUGACCCAGAAAGGUCUGGUUAGGAGGACAGGACCCUCACUAUACACUAUCACAUUUAAACUAAAAGGAUAUUAUGGAAUUAUGUAGACAUAUCAAGCUGAGAGGAAAGGAAAUCCUAUCAUCUUGCAGGCUUCCUAAUGAUCUUACUUAAAACUGAGUUACUGC
rnacentral:antisense_RNA from 1 species